AAAAUAAAGAAAACAGGAUCUCUCUCAUUUUGAAUAGAUAUCGGGACCCCCCUCCUCGAUUCCCAUUUCAGAGCAGACCCUUGUUCAAAGGGGGCAAAAGGGAGAAGGUUUGAAAAGAGGUGAUACCCUCCCUGCACACCCCAAUUCAUCUCACUUUUUGUUUGGAUCUGAAAACUUAUUUGGAAAAAGGAUUUCAACUGAUCAUUCAACAUUUUCUCAUCUCCUGGGAUUCCAACUCUCAUUGCCGAAGCUCUGUUCAUUGAUUAAUUGAUUCCUCCUUCCAAUUUCAGAGAUCUAUUUUCUACUUUGUUUGUUCUGCUAUAAUCAGGUACUGCUUCUUGCUUGAAUAAUGUAAACGCAAUGUUCAGUUGAAUGAGGAUUAUGUGACCAAGUUAAAGGAAACACAAAUGCGGACACUUUUCUUUUCAUCGUAAUUUUAAUGCCUUAUUUAUUUAUCUUUGCCUUUUGACUUUAUAAAACAUGAGCCUGAAUUUGGAUAGUUUAUUCUCAUUGCUCCUUUUAAUUAUUAAUUUCUAUACUGUUUAGUUGGAUUCGUCACCUAGAUAAAUUUAACGGCUAAUUAGAAAUUUUGAUUGAUGUUGCAAAGCUUCAAUAACAAUAAGCAGGAUGCCAAAUUGAGUUUUAAUAUACUAUGGGAAGUCCUCGUUGUUGGUUGAUGAGUCUACGUGGUGGCAUGUUUUAGUUUCUGAUUGAAACUUCCAAUUUUGCUAAGGUUCAAAUUAUUAGAUAUCAAGAUAAUUUCAAGCUAUAUGAUGUUAGUAAUUUGUUAAAUUAUAAAUAGUUUUAAGGUUGAAUAACUCAUUAGAACAGGUAGCAAAAAUCUUACACCCUUCCACGGUAAUUUCCAUAGCCUAUGGCCUUACAAUAAUCUUAAAUUAGAUUAGGAAAUAAAUCAAAGGCGUAGUUACUUUAGGCGCGUAAUUUAAAUUACUUUCCUAAAUCCGGGUGUGCAUUUAUGUGACCCAAAUUCAAAUUUCAACAACGUUAGAUAAAAUGUGUCGUGGACCACGGGUGCAUUUAUGUGACGCGGUUCAAGACGCGUUUUAGAUGACGUUGAAUCUUUCUUAAAAAAUAAUUAAAUAAAAGCGGUUAUAAAGUUAAAAUUGCAUCAUAGGUUUCAAAAAUGUUUUAAAAUCAAAUAAAUAGGCAAAUAAUAACAGUUGAGCGACCGUGCUAAAACCACGGAACCCGGAAAUGCCUAACACCUUCUCCCGGGUUAACAAAAUUCCUUACCCGGAUUUCUGUGUUCGCGGACUGUAAAACAGAGUCAAUCUUUCCUCAAUUAUCCCAAGUGGCGACUCUGAAAUUUUAAAUAAAAAUAAUCCCAAGCUGCCUGCGGUGCUUUUGUGCGGGCAUUGGUUGGCAGAUUAAGUUUAUAGCUAAGUUUUUCUCUCCAGGGCAUAUGGCGACUUUGAGAGAUGAGAUUUUGGCCUUCAAACCGGAACCUAAUGAACCACUUCAUGAGAUCUGGGAGAGAUAUCGGACAAUGGUGAAAGAAUGUACGAACAAUGACCUGACCGAAGCAAUGAUUCAGCGGACAUUCUACCAUGGCAUUAACACGACCAAUCAGUGAGUAGUGAACCAGCUAGCAGGUGGAAAUUUUAUGAACACACCUUAUGCUGAGGUGUGUGAGAUAUUGGAUGAGAUGGCAGAUACUUCCUCAACUUGGCAAAGUCAAGCCAAUGUGCCACAGGGUGACCCCACUGUCAUCCACUUGCACAAAGAGCUCCAUGAUCAUGGCCAGACAAUAGCAAAGUUAGCUACAACAAUGAACCAGUUGGCAAAAGCUCAAUUGCAACAAGUUCAAUCUCCUAGACAAGUAAAUGCUAUGGAAGGUGUCAACAUGUUGGUCAACAAGAGGCGACAAAGAGGUCAACAAGGUCAAGGUAGUCCGGAUCAAUAUGAGCAAGGCAGUGGUGAUUUCAAUCAAGAUGAUAGCUACAAUGAGAAAAGUAAAGAAGUGCAGUACGUGAACAAUUACCAAGGACAAAUGGGCAAUGCUCCUAACCCACAACAACAGUAGAGAUCCCAAGGAAAUUGGGGGAAUCAAAAUCAACAAGGCAAUAACAACUGGAGGGACAACAAUCAGAAUUGGGGCAACCAGAACAACUAGGGCAACUAGAAUGGCAACAACAAACCAAGGCGGUUGGAAUAAUGACAAUCAACGGAAUUGGGGGCGAGGCUUUCACAGGCCUCUGAUGUACCAACAACCAAACAACCCACCUCCAUUUCCAUCCCAAUAUCCUAGCUCGACAAACAAUGAGAUGGGAAAGAUCGCCGUGAAGAAGAACACCAACUUUGAUGUCCAGUUGGCAUCCCACAAUACUUCAAUUCGAAAUUUGGAGGUUCAACUUGGCCAGAUUUUGCAAUCUUUGAAUACUCGCCCUAAGGGGGCUCUACCUAGUGAUACGGUAGAAAACCCGAAGGGUAGGAACAACAUCGGGCAUGCAAUGGUGGUGAUUACAAGAAGCGGUCGAGGUGGUGAUAUGAAUGCCUCCAAGCAAAGGGAAGUUGUGAGUGAUGAGGUUGAAAUGCAAUAUGAUGGUGUUCCUAUAGUUGAUGAGCAAGUGAGUGAAGAGAAUUUGAAUGCGGAAGCGAGAAUUAAUAUUCAUGAUAAUGAGGUGGAGACUCAAGAUGACGUGAACCCGUCUAGGGAACACAUAAUAGAUAUACCGAAAAUGAUAGUGCCCAAGGCUAAGGCUCCUUUGCCAAGGCCUCCUCCACCUUACCCUCAAAGGCUUGCAAAGAAAAAGAUUGAAAACCAAUUUAAGAAGUUUAUUGAGAUGAUGAAAAGUUUGUCAAUCAAUGUUCCUUUGGGGGAAGCUCUUGAACAAAUUCCGGGUUACGCCAAGUUCAUGAAAGACUUGGUGACUAAAAAGAGAUCCAUGGAUUGUGAGACCAUCAAAAUGACUCAUUAAGUAAAUGCACUUGUGCACUCGAUGGCUCCAAAGCUUGAAGAUCCCGACGCUUUCACCAUUCCAUGUACCUUUGGGAGUGCAGAUUUUGCAAAGGCAUUGUGUGAUUUGGGAGCAAGUAUCAAUUUGAUGCCUUACUCCGUGUUCAAAACCUUGGGUAUUGGUCAACCGAGAGCUACUUCAAUGAGAUUGCGAAUGGCGAAUAGAACAAUGUAGAGGCCGCUUGGUAUUAUUGAUGAUGUUCUUGUUCGGGUGGACAAUUUUAUUUUGCCUGCUGACUUUGUGAUUUUGGACUGCGAGGUCGACUAUGAGGUUUCGAUAAUAUUGGAAAGACAUUUCCUUGCAAGUGGGAAGACAUUGGUUGACGUGGAAGCAGGGGAGCUCACCUUCCGGGUGGGUGAUGAACAAGUGGUCUUUCAUGUGUGCAAAUCAAUGAAGCAGCCGAAUAGUACUGAAGUGUGCUCUUUUGUGGAUCUUGUCAUAGAGGUGAUAGUUGAUGAUACUAGUGCAAUGAUCAAUGUGGAGGAUCCUCUAGAAGCUGUGUUGUUGAACCUUGACGUAAAUGAGGAUGAAGGUCUAGUGGAGUGUGUCAAUGCUUUGCAUGGAAUGGGCUCUUACUCUUAUGAGCCUCGAAAUCUCUCUUUGGAUCUUGAGAACAGAAAGACUCCACCAACAAAGCCCUCAAUUGAGGAACCCCCCAUUUUGGAGUUGAAGCCUUUGCCCUCACAUCUCAGGUAUGAAUUCUUAGGCCCUAGUUCAACUUUACCUGUUAUUCUUUCAUCUUGUCUUACUAACGUGCAGGUAGAUGUAACACUGGAGGUGCUCCAAAGAAGAAAGAAGGCAAUUGGAUGGACUCUAGCUAAUAUUCGGGGAAUAAGCCCGCCUUUUGCAUGCACGAGAUUAUACUUGAAGAUAAUGCCAAACCCUCCGUUGAACAUCAAAAGAGGUUGAGCGAGGCUAUGCAAAAGGUUGUCAAAAAGGAGGUGAUCAAGUGGUUAGAUGCAGGGGUUGUGUACCCCAUCUCGAAGAGUUCUUGGGCUUUACUGGUGCAAUGUGCGCCAAAGAAGGGUGGUAUAACUAUGGUUACCCAUGAGCAAAAUGAGUUAAUUAACACCAGGACUGUCACCAGAUGGUGGGUGUGCAUGGACUACCGCAAGCUGAAUAAAGUGACCCGCAAGGAUCACCUUCCAUUACCCUUUCUUAACCAGAUGCUAUAUAGACUUGCUGGGCGUGCCUUCUAUUGUUUCUUGGAUGGGUACUCAGGUUACAACUAGAUUUUGAUUGGUCCGGAAGAUCAGGAGAAAACCACCUUCACGUAUCCAUAUGUCACCUUUGCAUUUUCUAGGAUGCCAUUUGGUUUGUGUAAUGUACCGGCUACAUUCCAGUGGUGUAUGAUGGCUAUAUUUAUCGACAUGGUGGAGGACUUCUUGGAAGUGUUCAUGGAUGACUUCAGUGUUGUGGGUGACUCUUUUGAUGAAUGUAUGAAGAAUCUUGACAAAGUGUUGGCCCGGUGUGAAAAGACAAAUCUUGUGCUCAAUUGGGAAAAAUGCCACUUUAUGGUCGAGGAGGGCAUUGUCCUCGGCCAUAAGAUCUCAAAGCACGGUAUAGAGGUGGACAGGGCUAAAAUUGAAGUGAUCUCAAAGCUUCCUCCUCCAACAUCAGUCAAGGGGGUGAGGAGUUUUCUUGGGCAUGCGGGGUUCUACCAAAGAUUAAUCAAAGACUUUUCUAAGGUAGUGAAUCCUUUGUGCAAAUUAUUGGAAAAGGAUGCCAAGUUCGUAUUUAAUGAGGAAUGCAUGAAAGCUUUUGAAUUUCUAAAGUACAAAUUGACAACCACUUCCAUUAUUACCGCACCCAAUUGGAGCUUACCUUUUGAGCUUAUGUGUGACGCAAGCGAUGUUGCGGUAGGAGCGAUCUUGGGUCAAAGAGUGAUUAAGAUGUUUCACCCGGUGUAUUAUGCAAGCAAAACAAUGAAUGAUGCUCAACUGAAUUACACGGUGAUGGAAAAAGAUUUGUUAGCAAUUGUGUUUGCAAUGGAGAAGUUUAGGCCUUAUCUCAUGGGUGCCAAGGUGAUAGUUCAUACUGACCAUGCAACACUCCGCUACUUGAUGACAAAGAAGGAUUCUAAGGCUCGGUUGAUGAGAUGAGUUAUAUUGCUUCAAGAGUUUAACCUUGAGAUUGUUGAUCGGAAAGGGAGUGAAAACCAAGUGGAGAACCACUUAUCCCGCUUGGAGGAGGAGGGGAGGCCCCGUGAUGGCCUCGAAAUUAAUGAUUCAUUCCCUGAUGAGCAAUUCCUCUCUGUAUCUGUGAAUAACAUGCCUUGGUUCGCGGAUGUUGACAACUUUCUUGUGACUGGUAUUGUUCCGUGUGAUCUAUCUUCUAACCAAAGGAAGAAGCUUAAGCGGGUUAGUUUGGACUUCUACUGGGAUAAGCCUUACUUGUUCAAAAUCUGUAAUGAUGGUGUGAUCUGGAGAUGUGUUCCGGAAGAGGAGCAAAUGAGUAUUCUGGAUGCUUGUCAUUCCUCUCCCUACGGUGGUCAUCAUGGUGGGGCGAGGAUAGCUUCAAGGGUGCUUAGUUGGGGUUUUUAUUGGCCUACAUUGUACAAGGAUGCGGGUGAGCUUGUGAAGAGAUGUGAUGAGUGUCAGAUAGCAGGUGGAAUUUCAAAUAAGGAUGAGAUGGCUCUCCCCACUAUUCUUGAGGUUGACAUUUUUGAUGUGUGGGGCAUUGAUUUCAAGGGACCUUUCGUGAGUUCAUGUGUCAACACAUAUAUUCUAGUGACCAUUGAUUAUGUUUCCAAAUAGGUUGAGGUUCGUGGCUUUACCCAACAACAAGGCCCGGAGUGUGGUGUCUUUUCUCAAGAAGAAUAUCUUUACUCGGUUUGGCACUCCUAGAGCAAUCAUUAGUGAUGGGGGUUCUCAUUUCUGCAGUAAGGCAUUUGACACUUUGCUUACAAAGUACAGUGUCAAUUACAAGGUUUCAACCCCUUACCAUCCUCAGGCUAGUGGGCAAGUUGAGGUCUCCAACAGGGAGAUCAAGAGCAUAUUGUCAAAGACGGUUAUUGCAAAUAGGACUGACUGGUCAAAGAAACUGGAUGAUGCUUUGUGGGCUUACAGGACUGCUUACACAACUCUGAUUGGUAUGUCUCCGUAGCGAUUGGUGCUUGGGAAAGCUUAACAUAUCCUAGUUGAGUUAGAGCACAAGGCCAUGCGGGCCUUGAGAAAGUUGAAUCUUGAAUGGGAUGUUGCAGCAAAUCUCUAGGUGGAGCAACUCAAUGAGCUUGAUGAGUUCCAGUUUCAUGGCUAUUCCAGCUCAUCCUUGUAUAAGGACAAGAUGAAGUACUUACAUGACAAGUAUGCCCGUAGCAAGGAAUUCAAAGAGGGUGACUUGGUUCUUUUAUUCAACUCCCGGUUACAACUAUUUCCGGGAAAGCUUAAGUCAAAAUGGAGUGGACCUUUUGAGGUAGUACUUGUGACUCCGUUUGGUGCUCUUGAUUUGAAAAACAAAAAUGGUGAAAUCUUCAGAGUUAAUGGGCACAAAGUGAAUCACUAUCUUGGCAAAUUUGAUGACAGCCACGUGGUGGCAACGAUCCAUCUCAAAUGAUUUAUGGUAACAUGUGUCGUGUCGCGAUGUUAAAUCAGGCGCUUCUUGGGAGGCAACCCAUGUGUUUUUCUUCCUUUUGAUUUUCUUAUUAGUUUAGGAUUUGUUUUUGAACUAACUGUUUGUGAGAUGUGUGUAGGGAUGUUUGAUGCAGUGCAGGACUAAGCUGGAAAAAUUUGGCACUCUCUGAAGUUGGACCACUGAUAGCGCUUCAUUUUUCGCAGUUAGUGAUGGCCUUAUCGCAGAGGCGGAAUUUGAUGGCGGAUGCGAGAUUGAAAAGUCCAACAUGACACCUCUCUGAAGUUUCAACCGCGUCUGAGGUGCUUUUAUUAUGGUCAGCAAUGCCGUACCGCAGUCGCGAUCGAUUUUUUGCUCUCCACGGUCAAUUUAAUUAUGCAUCCCUUCUGUACUUCACUAGUGCGGACCGCGGUGAUUUACCGCGGCUGCGAUAGGUAAGUUCUAGUAGGUCCCUGGAUGUUUUGUAUAAAUAGGACCUCAGAGAACCUUUUACCCUUUUUGCUCAAUUGACUCUCACACUAGAAUUUUAACUGUUCAUCCACACCACAAUCUGCACAAACACAAGAACUAGACUUCAUUUUUCACCACUCAUUUCACAUUUGGUAAUUCCACUCAUUCCUUAGUCUUUAAUUUUGUACUUA
rnacentral:lncRNA from 1 species